rnacentral:misc_RNA from 1 species
AAUGGAUGGUUAUGGGAAUAGGAGUACCAUUCAAAACCCCGUUUUCAUUGCACUCAGGAACAUCCUAACUGAUAUCUUCUGUGCUAUUCAGAUUGUGAAUGCAGCUUAAAUUUCAGCAUUCCCCGCUUCAAAACAACUCAGAUGUUUGAAACUCGAUAUCUAGACGCCAGAUAACUAUUCAAAUGAGGUAUGUUAGCUGGAAUCCUAAUCACAAUAUCUUAUUGUGAAAUGACAUGGUUUUUGGAAAAUAGAAUCCUUCAAGAAGUCAGAAGACUAU